UUGUGUUUGCAUAUAAUGCAUCGUGCAUAUGACUUCAAAAUUUUUUAGUGUAAUUAUAUGUGUCACACUGUGAUAUCAUCUAUAGCUCUGCAGUUAGCAAUGUAAUAUUUGUUAUAACCCUAGAAAAUAACAGAUCUAAAACAAAACCCUAAAAUUAAAAAAAAAAUCAGGAUCUAACAGAUCAAAAUCAAAACAAUACCUGCACUGCAAGAGGUAGGAGGAUCCUUCUGGAGAUCCUUGAGUUCUUUCAAGAUCCGUAUCGAGGCCAUCAGGAAUUCCUAUAGUUUACAAAAGUAAAAACCCUAAUUUUGAAUCUGAACGUAUAAUAGAAGAUCGAAAGGGGAAGUUUUUUGUUUCAACACAUUUAUUAGUUUUUUGGUUUUAAGUUUUAACAUUGUAGAGGUUUAUUGUCAUUAUUUGUUAUACGCACUUCUUAGAGGGAUUUCUGACGGGUUAGCUAGAGGAAAGAAACCUGAUGAAAUGGAGAAAUUGGUAAUUGAUCUAUUGAAGGCUCAUUUGAGACAUCCAUAGGCAUCAGAGGUUAACAACAAAGAUAUCAUAUCUCAUUUUGUUUUGCGUCUCGUGUAUUGUCGAUCGUAAUCUUUUGAACUUUUUGCCGUUUAUUUAUUUAUUUUUUAUUUUCUGCUUUGAUGUCUUAUGUAGAUUUGAACUGAUUGUGUUGAUGACUUCAAAUUCAUUAUUGUUUAUGUGGCUUUUGGUAUUGGAUGCUCUUUGUGUAUUCUAGCAAGUUCGUUUUUACUUAUGCAAGCUGGGUACGAAACGGCCAACCAGCUUUUCGACAAAAUGCAUUUUUCUAUUUUCUGUGCCCCCAUGUCUUUCUUUGAUGCCAACCCAUCUGGUCGAAUCCUAAGCCGAGUAUCUUCAGUCCAAACUGCAGUGGACUUGUCAAUACCAUAUAGUAUUGGUCCAUUUGCCUAUGCUAUCAUACAGCUUUUAGGCAUUGUUUUAGUUAUGUCACUAAACCGAGUAUAA